rnacentral:rRNA from 1 species
CGCCUGGGGAGUACGGCCGCAAGGUUAAAACUCAAAUGAAUUGACGGGGGCCCGCACAAGCGGUGGAGCAUGUGGUUUAAUUCGACGCAACGCGAAGAACCUUACCUGGCCUUGACAUCCAGAGAGCUUUCCAGAGAUGGAUUGGUGCCUUCGGGAACUCUGAGACAGGUGCUGCAUGGCCGUCGUCAGCUCGUGUCGUGAGAUGUUGGGUUAAGUCCCGUAACGAGCGCAACCCCUAUCCCUGGUUGCUAGCAGGUAAUGCUGAGAACUCCAGGGAGACUGCCGGUGACAAACCGGAGGAAGGUGGGGAUGACGUCAGGUCAUCAUGGCCCUUACGGCCAGGGCUACACACGUGCUACAAUGGCGCGUACAGAGGGCUGCCAACUCGCGAGAGUGAGCCAAUCCCUUAAAACGCGUCGUAGUCCGGAUCGGAGUCUGCAACUCGACUCCGUGAAGUCGGAGUCGCUAGUAAUCGCGAAUCAGAAUGUCGCGGUGAAUACGUUCCCGGGCCUUGUACACACCGCCCGUCACACCAUGGGAGUGGAUUGCACCAGAAGUAGUUAGUCUAACCUUCGGGAGGACGAUUACCACGGUGUGGUUCAUGACUGGGGGUGAAGUCGUAACAAGGUAACCGUA